AACAUUGAAGAGAAUGAUGUAAUUAUGAUAUCAAUAUGUGAAGGAUCAUGAGUUGAAGUAUAGGGAUGUUGUGCACUUUAGGCCAGUUAGCACUCACAACAAUUUGGUUAAUGUUACCAUUACCCGUGGGCAGCCGUAUGUAUAAUAUAUGGCAUCUCAAUCAUUCUCUUCGACACAAAGAAGAAAUGGGAUUGCUGAUGGAAGGCUCUGUACUUGCGGCCUUACCCCAGCCCUAAAGACUUCAUGGUCCAGUAGUAAUUAUGGACGAAGAUAUUUUCAAUGUCCUUUGAAGGCUUGUGGGUAUUAUGAUUGGCUUGAUCCCCCUGUGCAUGGGCAAGUUGUUGAAGCCCCCAUGACUGCUGCUGUGACUCCUGGUCAAGUUGUUCAA